rnacentral:rRNA from 1 species
ACAAGCAGUGGGAGCACCCUUUGGGUGUGACUGCGUACCUUUUGUAUAAUGGGUCAGCGACUUAUAUUCUGUAGCAAGGUUAACCGAAUAGGGGAGCCGGAGGGAAACCGAGUCUUAACCGGGCGUUAAGUUGCAGGGUAUAGACCCGAAACCCGGUGAUCUAGCCAUGGGCAGGUUGAAGGUUGGGUAACACUAACUGGAGGACCGAACCGACUAAUGUUGAAAAAUUAGCGGAUGACCUGUGGCUGGGGGUGAAAGGCCAAUCAAACCGGGAGAUAGCUGGUUCUCCCCGAAAGCUAUUUAGGUAGCGCCUCGUGAAUUCAUCUCCGGGGGUAGAGCACUGUUUCGGCUAGGGGGCCAUCCCGGCUUACCAACCCGAUGCAAACUGCGAAUACCGGAGAAUGUUAUCACGGGAGACACACGGCGGGUGCUAACGUCCGUCGUGAAGAGGGAAACAACCCAGACCGCCAGCUAAGGUCCCAAAGUCAUGGUUAAGUGGGAAACGAUGUGGGAAGGCCCAGACAGCCAGGAUGUUGGCUUAGAAGCAGCCAUCAUUUAAAGAAAGCGUAAUAGCUCACUGGUCGAGUCGGCCUGCGCGGAAGAUGUAACGGGGCUAAACCAUGCACCGAAGCUGCGGCAGCGACACUGUGUGUUGUUGGGUAGGGGAGCGUUCUGUAAGCCUGUGAAGGUGUGUCGUGAGGCAUGCUGGAGGUAUCAGAAGUGCGAAUGCUGACAUAAGUAACGAUAAAGCGGGUGAAAAGCCCGCUCGCCGGAAGACCAAGGGUUCCUGUCCAACGUUAAUCGGGGCAGGGUGAGUCGACCCCUAAGGCGAGGCCGAAAGGCGUAGUCGAUGGGAAACGGGUUAAUAUUCCCGUACUUGGUGUUACUGCGAAGGGGGGACGGAGAAGGCUAUGUUGGCCGGGCGACGGUUGUCCCGGUUUAAGCGUGUAGGUGUGUGUUCCAGGUAAAUCCGGUUCACUUUAACACUGAGGCGUGACGACGAGGCACUACGGUGCUGAAGCAACAAAUGCCCUGCUUCCAGGAAAAGCCUCUAAGCAUCAGGUAACAUCAAAUCGUACCCCAAACCGACACAGGUGGUCAGGUAGAGAAUACCAAGGCGCUUGAGAGAACUCGGGUGAAGGAACUAGGCAAAAUGGUGCCGUAACUUCGGGAGAAGGCACGCUGACACGUAGGUGAAGUGAUUUACUCAUGGAGCUGAAGUCAGUCGAAGAUACCAGCUGGCUGCAACUGUUUAUUAAAAACACAGCACUGUGCAAACACGAAAGUGGACGUAUACGGUGUGACGCCUGCCCGGUGCCGGAAGGUUAAUUGAUGGGGUCAGCGCAAGCGAAGCUCCUGAUCGAAGCCCCGGUAAACGGCGGCCGUAACUAUAACGGUCCUAAGGUAGCGAAAUUCCUUGUCGGGUAAGUUCCGACCUGCACGAAUGGCGUAAUGAUGGCCAGGCUGUCUCCACCCGAGACUCAGUGAAAUUGAACUCGCUGUGAAGAUGCAGUGUACCCGCGGCAAGACGGAAAGACCCCGUGAACCUUUACUAUAGCUUGACACUGAACAUUGAGCCUUGAUGUGUAGGAUAGGUGGGAGGCUUUGAAGUGUGGACGCCAGUCUGCAUGGAGCCGACCUUGAAAUACCACCCUUUAAUGUUUGAUGUUCUAACGUGGACCCGUUACCCGGGUUGCGGACAGUGUCUGGUGGGUAGUUUGACUGGGGCGGUCUCCUCCUAAAGAGUAACGGAGGAGCACGAAGGUUGGCUAAUCCUGGUCGGACAUCAGGAGGUUAGUGCAAUGGCAUAAGCCAGCUUGACUGCGAGCGUGACGGCGCGAGCAGGUGCGAAAGCAGGUCAUAGUGAUCCGGUGGUUCUGAAUGGAAGGGCCAUCGCUCAACGGAUAAAAGGUACUCCGGGGAUAACAGGCUGAUACCGCCCAAGAGUUCAUAUCGACGGCGGUGUUUGGCACCUCGAUGUCGGCUCAUCACAUCCUGGGGCUGAAGUAGGUCCCAAGGGUAUGGCUGUUCGCCAUUUAAAGUGGUACGCGAGCUGGGUUUAGAACGUCGUGAGACAGUUCGGUCCCUAUCUGCCGUGGGCGCUGGAGAACUGAGGGGGGCUGCUCCUAGUACGAGAGGACCGGAGUGGACGCAUCACUGGUGUUCGGGUUGUCAUGCCAAUGGCACUGCCCGGUAGCUAAAUGCGGAAGAGAUAAGUGCUGAAAGCAUCUAAGCACGAAACUUGCCCCGA